rnacentral:rRNA from 1 species
AUUGAACGCUGGCGGCAUGCCUUACACAUGCAAGUCGAACGGUAACGGGUCCUUCGGGAUGCCGACGAGUGGCGAACGGGUGAGUAAUAUAUCGGAACGUGCCCAGUAGUGGGGGAUAACUGCUCGAAAGAGCAGCUAAUACCGCAUACGAACUGAGGGUGAAAGGGGGGGAUCGCAAGACCUCUCGCUAUUGGAGCGGCGGUUAUCAGAUUAGCUAGUUGGUGGAGUAAAGGCCUACCAAGGAAACGAUCUGUAGUUGGUCUGAGAGGACGACCAGCCACACUGGGACUGAGACACGGCCCAGACUCCUACGGGAGGCAGCAGUGGGGAAUUUUGGACAAUGGGCGCAAGCCUGAUCCAGCAAUGCCGCGUGCAGGAAGAAGGCCUUCGGGUUGUAAACUGCUUUUGUCAGGGAAGAAAUCUUCUGGGCUAAUACCCCGGGAGGAUGACGGUACCUGAAGAAUAAGCACCGGCUAACUACGUGCCAGCCGCCGCCGUAAAAC